rnacentral:rRNA from 1 species
ACACAAGCUUGCUAGUGGGCGACGAGUGGCGGACGGGUGAGUAACGCGUAGGAAUCUACCUAGUAGUGGGGGAUAGCCAAGGGAAACUUUGGGUAAUACCGUAUACGAUCUAAGGAUGAAAGGGGGCCUCUCUUUGAAGCUCUCGCUAUUAGAUGAGCCUGCGUAAGAUUAGCUUGUUGGUGAGGUAAUGGCUCACCAAGGCGACGAUCUUUAGCUGGUCUGAGAGGAUGAUCAGUCACACUGGAACUGAGACACGGUCCAGACUCCUACGGGAGGCAGCAGUCGGGAAUAUUGGACAAUGGGGGAAACCCUGAUCCAGCCAUGCCGCGUGUGUGAAGAAGGCCCUAGGGUCGUAAAGCUCUUUCGCCAGGGAUGAUAAUGACAGUACCUGGUAAAGAAACCCCGGCUAACUCCGUGCCAGCAGCCGCGGUAAUACGGAGGGGGUUAGCGUUGUUCGGAAUUACUGGGCGUAAAGCGCGCGUAGGCGGACCAGAAAGUUGGGGGUGAAAUCCCGGGGCUCAACCCCGGAACGGCCUCCAAAACUCCUGGUCUUGAGUUCGAGAGAGGUGAGUGGAAUUCCGAGUGUAGAGGUGAAAUUCGUAGAUAUUCGGAGGAACACCAGUGGCGAAGGCGGCUCACUGGCUCGAUACUGACGCUGAGGUGCGAAAGUGUGGGGAGCAAACAGGAUUAGAUACCCUGGUAG